rnacentral:rRNA from 1 species
UUUGUCUAAUGGCARAUGUGAGAUGCAGUGUAUGGAAUGUCAAAUUUCUAGUAUGAGAAAUUAACNAUUUAAGUCCUUCUUAAAUGAGGCCAUUUACCCAUAGAGGGUGCCAGGCCCGUAUAACGUUAAUGAUUACUAGAUGGCAUUUCCAAAGAGUCGUGUUGCUUGAUAGUGCAGCACUAAGUGGGUGGUAAACUCCAUCUAAAACUAAAUAUAACCAUGAGACCGAUAGUAAACAAGUACCGUGAGGGAAAGUUGAAAAGAACUCUGAAUAGAGAGUUAAAUAGUACGUGAAACUGCUUAGAGGUUAAGCCCGAUGAACCUAAAUAUCCCAUUAUGGAAAACUCAUCGUUAUGAUUUUAAUAUAUUAUGAUAAUGGUGUGCAUUUUUUCUAUAAAGGACAUUGUAAUCUAUUAAUACAAAAAAUUUAUCAAAAAAUCGCCCGGGUUUAUUCGAAUUAAUUUUCUUGCAAUUAAAAAUAAAAUAAACGCUCUUGAUUUGAUAAAGGGUUAAUAAAUUUAAAUAUAGGGCUUAAAUAAUAUAUUUUAGAAAUGAUUUUUGAUUUUGAUGCUUAUCGUAACAUAUUUGCAAGUUAUUGGGUGAAASUUAAUAGCAAAAUUAACAUGACUAAAUGGGAUUAGUUUNUGUGCCGAUAUUAAUUCAAUCCCGGGGCGUUCUAUACGGUUAUGUAUAAUAAUAUUUAUAUUAUUUAUACCUCUAAMUAGAGCGCGCCUUGAGCAUAUAUGUUGUGACCCGAAAGAUGGUGAACUAUACUUGAUCAGGUAGAAGUCAGGGGAAACCCUGAUGGAAGACMGAAACAGUUUUGACGUGCAAAUCGAUUGUCAGAAUUGAGUAUAGGGGSGAAAGACCAAUCGKACCAUCUAGUAGSUGGUUCCCUCCGAAGUUUCCCUCAGGAUAGSNGGUGCAUUUAAAAAUUAUUUAAAAUAAUCUUAUYUGGUAAAGCGAAUGAUUAGAGGCCUUAGGGUGGAAACGAUUUUAACCUAUUCUCAAACUUUAAAUGGGUAAGAACCUCACCUUUCUUGGUAAUGAAGGUUGUGGUUGUGAUAUAAUGUGCCCAGUGGGCCACUUUUGGUAAGCAGAACUGGCGCUGGGGGAUGAACCNAANNNUAANGUUMCGGUGCCCAAAUUAACAACUCAUACAGAUACCAUGAAAGGCG